rnacentral:rRNA from 1 species
UACGUAGGUGGCAAGCGUUGUCCGGAAUUAUUGGGCGUAAAGCGCGCGCAGGCGGUCCUUUAAGUCUGAUGUGAAAGCCCACGGCUCAACCGUGGAGGGUCAUUGGAAACUGGGGGACUUGAGUACAGAAGAGGAAAGCGGAAUUCCACGUGUAGCGGUGAAAUGCGUAGAGAUGUGGAGGAACACCAGUGGCGAAGGCGGCUUUCUGGUCUGUAACUGACGCUGAGGCGCGAAAGCGUGGGGGAGCGAACAGG